rnacentral:rRNA from 1 species
UACGGGGGUGGCAAGCGUUGUUCGGAAUUACUGGGCGUAAAGGGCUCGUAGGUGGCCAACUAAGUCAGACGUGAAAUCCCUCGGCUUAACCGGGGAACUGCGUCUGAUACUGGAUGGCUUGAGUUUGGGAGAGGGACGCGGAAUUCCAGGUGUAGCGGUGAAAUGCGUAGAUAUCAGGAGGAACACCGAUGGCGAAGGCAGGUCUCUGGGCAUUAACUGACGCUGAGGGGCGAAAGCAUGGGGAGCGAACAGG